UCCCUGAUGGCUCAGUGGUUAAGACUCCAUGCUUUCAAAGCAAGUGGCAUGGGUUCAAUUCCUGGUCAGAGAA
rnacentral:tRNA from 1 species